ensembl:lncRNA SCGB1B2P secretoglobin family 1B member 2, pseudogene
GCAGAGCCCAGGAAACUCUGCCCGCAGCUUAUGACGGUCAUUAACCAGUUUCUGACCAAGGACAAGGACACCUACAUGGACACUGUCAACAGAUACCACCUCACGGAGCCGGAAAGAAACACAUCCUCUAAACUCAAGGACUGCGUGACCGACACAAUGACCCCCGAGGAGACAGAGGCCGUCGUGCAGCAACUGGCACCUCGGGUUCCUGUCCAGGCUGCCUGUCCCAACCAUGAGAAUCUGGGCCCAGGGCCCCACCCUCCCUAGCUCCCGCCCUGCUGCUGCCUCUACUCUCUCUCCUGCUGUGCUGAUUGGGGCAAGCCUGGGAACGGCUGCCCCCCACCUCCCCACCCAGGCCUGUCCCCUGCGGGACAAUGCUGCCUAAUAAACUCACCUGCAUCCA